CACGUAGGCACCAAGCGUUGUCCGGAUUUAUUGGGCGUAAAGAGCUCGUAGGCGGUUCAGUAAGUCGGGUGUGAAAACUCAGGGCUCAACCCUGAGCGGCCACCCGAUACUGCUGUGACUUGAGUCCGGUAGGGGAGUGGGGAAUUCCUGGUGUAGCGGUGAAAUGCGCAGAUAUUAGGAGGAACACCGGUGGCGAAGGCGCCACUCUGGGCCGAGACUGACGCUGAGGAGCGAAAGCGUGGGUAGCAAACAGG
rnacentral:rRNA from 1 species